rnacentral:tRNA from 1 species
AAUCUCAUAGUGGAAUUGUAAAGACGUUAGAUUGCAAAUCUAAAAAUGUGAAUUAUUCACUGAGAUUU